CUGAGCCGAAGGCAGAGGAUCAACCCACUGAGCCACCCAGGCGCCCCUGUGCUGCGGAUGUUAAUUGGGAGACAGUCGUCUAACCACAAAUGAUUCAGAUUCAACCAACCCCUCCCGAGUGCGAGCUCUGUGCCAGACCCUGGUCAGAUCAUGCCGCAGCCGUGGAGACCCUCCCCAACACCCAAAGUAAAGUUCUGUUGCUUAACCAGACGAAUAUUAAAAACUAACCACUUCCCAACAGUGUGAACAGAUCGCAAAGGAUUCUUAAACAAUGGAUCACUUUAAUGGAGACACUUUCAGGUUAACUGGAUUUAGGAAGUUUCAAAGUUCCUGCCCU